rnacentral:rRNA from 1 species
UACGGGGGGAGCAAGCGUUGUUCGGAUUUACUGGGCGUAAAGGGCGCGUAGGCGGCCAGCACAAGUCAGUUGUGAAAUCUCCGAGCUUAACUCGGAACGGUCAACUGAUACUGUGCGGCUAGAGUGCGGAAGGGGCAACUGGAAUUCUUGGUGUAGCGGUGAAAUGCGUAGAUAUCAAGAGGAACACCUGCGGCGAAGGCGGGUUGCUGGGCCGACACUGACGCUGAGGAGCGAAAGCCAGGGGAGCAAACGGG